GAUGAACGCUGGCGGCGUGCCUAAUACAUGCAAGUAGAACGCUGAAGGAGGAGCUUGCUCUUCUGGAUGAGUUGCGAACGGGUGAGUAACGCGUAGGUAACCUGCCUGGUAGCGGGGGAUAACUAUUGGAAACGAUAGCUAAUACCGCAUGACAACAGUUAUUGCAUGAUAACUGUUUAAAAGGGGCAACUGCUCCACUACCAGAUGGACCUGCGUUGUAUUAGCUAGUUGGUGAGGUAACGGCUCACCAAGGCGACGAUACAUAGCCGACCUGAGAGGGUGAUCGGCCACACUGGGACUGAGACACGGCCCAGACUCCCACGGGAGGCAGCAGUAGGGAAUCUUCGGCAAUGGACGGAAGUCUGACCGAGCAACGCCGCGUGAGUGAAGAAGGUUUUCGGAUCGUAAAGCUCUGUUGUAAGAGAAGAACGAGUGUGAGAGUGGAAAGUUCACACUGUGACGGUAUCUUACCAGAAAGGGACGGCUAACUACGUG
rnacentral:rRNA from 1 species